UCGGAUAUGGUGUAAUGGUUAACAUUGCCGCCUCUCAUGGAGUGCUGCUCUUGCUUCGCGGCAGCUCGGGGUUCGAUUCCCCGUAUCCGAA